UAUAAAUCAAUUUGAUUUGAUUUUGAUUUGAGUUGAUUGAUGGUUAAAAGGAAAUAUUCACCCAUCCUGAAUGUUAUAUUAUUUUAUCUCUGAGUGAGGUCCUAUCGAUGCCAUGGGUCAUUUCAUGUCUUAAUGUGUAUCUGAGUUGUUGGCAUUCAAGCAGGCAGACAUUCUUCUGGUGUGACGUAGUACUGUGAUAAAGUGAUAACGAGUGGCCCACCUCCCGGCCCGCUCAGUGAUCACAGGCUACACAGCUGAUGCCUUCCGGACUCUUCCCCAACACUGCAUGAACUACACUAGUCCACCAGAUCCUUGCAGUAAGCUCUGGACCUUUGCAUCGGAUCAUCGCUGCUAGCUAGCUGCUACCGAGAGGCUAUAGUGGCUAACGCCCCUGUCCUGAAGCUAGCACCAGUUAGCUGUGAGCCAGGCGUAUCUCACGGCUAGCAAACAAAAUUACUACAACCACAAUACUUCUUUCGCCAACUGGCCUGGACUCUUUGCCGACACGAAGCCCCGCCGUUCCACCACGACUGGUCUGCCGACGUAACUCCAUCCGCUGUGCCCCCAACCGGCCUUUGCCAGAAGUCGGAGCAAGCGCUUCUACUAGCCCCAGUCUGCCAACUUUACACGCUGUGUCCCCAGCUUGCUAGGUAGUAGACGUCGGAGCAGGUGCUUCUACUAGCCCCGGCCUGCUAACUUUAAACGCUGUGUCCCCAGCUUGCUAGGUAGUAGACGUGGGAGCAGGUGCUUCUACUAGCCCCAGUCUGCUAACUUUAAACACUGUGUCCCCAGCUUGCUAGGUAGUAGACGUGGGAGCAGGUGCUUCUACUAGCCCCGGCCUGCUAACUUUAAACGCUGUGUCUCCAGCUUGCUAGGUAGUAACAACUACCCAGCGUCAUCCCUGUUCCAUCUAUUGCUGUUCACUGGACCCUAUGAUCACCUGGCUACAUAGCUGAUGCCUGCUGGACUGUCCAUUAAUCACAGUACUCCAUUUUGUUUAUUUGUUGUUUAUCUGUCGGCCCCAGCCUCCAACUCAGGCCCUGUGUGUAGUUAACUGACCCUCUCUGCUCUUUCAUCUCCAUUUUACCUGUUGUUGUUGUCUUAGCUGAUUAGCUGCUGUUGUCUUACUCGUCGUUGUCUUAGCUAGCUCUCCCAAUAAACACUUGUGAUUGC